UCCAGCUGAAACAGCAAUUAGGAAGGAGGCCUUACUGCAGGAUACUAACUUACUAUUUCAUAGAUAGUCUGUGUAGGACAGGCCCUGUUGACUACAGAACUGUAACUGAAAAACAUGCAAAAUCUUUAACUGUUCUGAGCUACAUUGUGCCCUAAGUUAUGUCUGCCACUUUAAUAUGCUGAGGUUACUUGAGGAUAAAGACAGCAUUUGGCCUAUUAUAGUUGAGGGGAAUUUGUUGCAUUUUCCUGGUUGUAGCAUAGAUACUGAAAUGAGUUCUAUAGUAACUCCAAAAUGCAAUAUAUUGGUUACUAACAUUAAUAGUGAAUAUGGGAUUCCUCAUAAAUACUGAGUUGUUAUUCAAAUUGUUUUAGCGUUAACUCAAGCAAAGACUUGACCCAUGCAGUGUUACUGUUACGGUUUUAAUGAAGUAGAGAAACAGGCAAAAUAUAUCUCCCAUAGCAAGGGGUUGAGAGAAGUGGUGCAGGUUUUUUGUUUUUGUUUUUUUUUCUUUUUACCCCUAGUUUUGGCUCAGAUGGGUGUUCAUUCUCAACUCUUCCACAGAUUUUCUCUGUAAGUUUUGGGUUAAUUCUUAAGGCUUUGACUGACACCACCCAGAAGAGCUCAUUGUGCUUCCUCGCUUCCCUGCUUGUCCCUUCGCUGAGAUUUCCACCAUGCCACAGAGACCUCAGGGCUUCUCUUUUGUGUCAAUGCACGUGUGCUGCUUUUAGCUCUUUGUAUUGAUAGGCCUCACUGUGAAGGGAAAUGGGAGGCCUGGGCACUGGUCUAACUUUGCUAUAUGGCCAGCAAGUCAAGAGCAGGGUUAAAGUCUGUGACAUACAGCCUUUUACACUGCUAUUGCUAAGUUGACAGCUUUUUCACAUCCUUAGUGCCUGUUUCCAUAUGCAAAAUAGUGAUAAUCUCCCUAGUGAAAUAAACGGAUGCCAGCUGGGAGAGAAGCACCGUGGUCUAGCAAGUGUCUGGUCAAUUCACUUGUUCUGACAGUGCUGAUGUGGCAAAUGUAUUUUUUAUGUUAAUGCCAAAUACAAACUCUGUUCUGAUUUUUAAUGCAUGUGUGUUUCUUUCAGCUUUUUGCAUUGUAAAAUAAUUGCUUAGUACUGGAAAAAAGAAGAAAUCAUAUUCUGCACAGCUCUUUGUUUAAUUGAAAACAAAAUAUUGAGGAAUCAAAAGUGGACUAAUGAAAAAGUGGACUUUAGCUAUUUGUGAAAUUCAGUGCCUUAUGUCCAAAGCCCAGAUCCAGGAGGCGGUUGCUGUCCCGAACAGCCAAGCGUGGGCAGAUGCCUGACAGCAUGGGAGUAGAGAGCACUUGCAUUCAGCCCCUGGAGGUGCUGCACAGCUGUUUUUAACUUCUGUAGAUCUUCUUGAUACCUGUGGGAGUUGCGUGCACAGCUAGAUGUAAUGGUCUCUGCAGGUGAAAAUUCGGAAAAUAUUUGUCUGUCUACCAACGCGGCUUCAGAAUAAGCAGGAUUGUGAACCUCAUCUAGCAAAUGAGAAGAAAUAGUUUUGUCGUACCAAGUAGAGUCUCCUACCAGCAGAGGACACUCGCUCUAUGCUGCAUUACAAAGUCAUGGUCAACUAAGGCAGAAUUAGAAGUCCAGAUCUUCUGCAGCCAAGAUGGAUCUGAGAGGGGGACAUUCAGGAGGUCUGGGACCCUGUUUCCAGCGUGUGACUGGGCUGGACAGGUAGUCUUUUCUUUCUAAGGAAGAGUAGAAGACAGAGGUGUAAACCCCGGGAGCAUGUCCAGCAGCAUCAGAGACUGGAUGUGCCAGGAGGAGGCAGUUGGCUUGGCAGUACUUGGAGUCCAACAAAAAUGGGAAGAAACAUAUGGAGUUAACUUGCAGAAUGCUGAUCUCAGCAUCUUUAGCAGCCAAAAUAUGUAUGGCUUCAGUACUGGUCUCCUUUUUAUGGCUGUGUCCAUUUUGUUACCUCACAUUCUGAUACUGUAGAGCAACUUGUGACCUAGCGCACCUUCUUCCAGAGAGCUAGUAUUACAAAGUUAAAGAAAUACAUACUUCCAGAUCUCCUGAGAUAUUGGCUCCUGCAAGAAUGCCAGUGGCAGCUGGGAAGAAAAUGGCAAACACCGAGAAAAAUCCUUCUCCAUCUCUGAAAUCUGGUCCAAAGUUUUCUGCAAAUAUUGAUGCUGAAAAUAUAGAUGAAAAUGGAACAUAUGACCAGGAUUUGAUUCCAAAGUUACUUAAUGAAGGAGGUUUACCUUUGCUUCCCAUUCCAUGCCAGCGACAGAGAUGCCAAGAAGACAUACAACAGUUAUGGUGCCUAUUAUUCUGAUGUCAUUGAAUUCAUCUACCAUGAUCGUAUCACUCUCCUGAAAAGGCAGAAAUAUUUACUCAUCUUCCAAGGAGUAGCUGAAAUGUAAAAGGUUUUGCAAAGAGUUAUACAGGAAGGUAUUUGAUGCAUAUCAGUGGAUAUCACCUGUCUUUAAAAUAAGAGGAAGAGAUGCCUCGCAUUCAGUUUGUCCAAGGACAUCCAACCUGAAAUGCUCUGAAUAAGAAUGACCUGCUGAAAGCAGUGCCUUCUCCGUUAGCCACUCUCUCGACUGAGCUGGUGUUCACGGCUAUGUUCUGAAGGAUCACACAGAAAACAAAAACGUUUUUGUGCCAAGCAGAUGACACCUGGCUGCAUAAGAGAGACAUGGAAUAAAGGAACUCCAAAGAAGAUUGGGUUUUACUGCCUCUGAACUACAGUGCAAUAUUCUGCUCACAGCAGGUAUCAGCAGACAGCAGGAGAACUGGAAGCACUGGGACAUCAGAAGAGGCAAAGGACAAAGGGCAGGAUUCUAAGUCAUCUGUUGAUUGAUUCAUUCCCCACAUAAAAAACACUGGCAUAAAGAAAGGCACCCUAACAUCCUGCUGUGAAACAGAAGACCGUUGGAAGCCCUUGUGAGACCAGAAGAAACAUUCGGAGUCCAAGAGAAAAUAUGAAUUAGGAAAAUAACUUGGCACAGACCACUGAGGUUAGGAGUGUGGAGGUAUGUGCGGGCCGUCUGGCUGCACCCAUGAGGACGAGGGGAAGAACCAUGGGCGUUGUGAGGAAGCCUGAAGAAAGAUGUUGAAAUUCUUAAUAAUAUUCUAGUAGCAUCACCAGCCCAACUCUGCUAAUGUUUGGUGUGGACUGAGGAUCCUUGCCCCAGCUCUUUGGUGGCUUGGAUGUCUUUUUUCCGACUUAACUUUCACUCUCAUGUUUUCAGAAAUAUUGAGAUCAGAUAAUUCCAGACUUUCCUGGCAAAGUAGCCAGUAAAUAAAGACUUCAUCAAGAAUCUUCCUUAUA